rnacentral:rRNA from 1 species
UACGGGGGGGGCAAGCGUUGUUCGGAAUUACUGGGCGUAAAGGGCUCGUAGGCGGCCAACUAAGUCAGACGUGAAAUCCCUCAGCUUAACCGGGGAACUGCGUCUGAUACUGGUUGGCUUGAAUCCGGGAGAGGGAUGUGGAAUUCCAGGUGUAGCGGUGAAAUGCGUAGAUAUCUGGAGGAACACCGGUGGCGAAGGCGGCAUCCUGGACCGGUAUUGACGCUGAGGAGCGAAAGCCAGGGGAGCAAACGGG